GUCCCAAAGCUGACAUCAAACUGAGGAUCAAGUCCAAAAGUAUCAAGGUUACACACUGUUACACUCCCUGAGAACCACCACCAGAGCCCUGGGACAUGGAAAACAACACAUCUAUUUACUGGACCAACAUCACUGGGAAAAACCUUCAUGGUCUAUGAGGGCAUUGCUGGACAAAAGCAAGGACACUGCAAGUGAACAAGAGCCAUGCAGCCCUUCAGACAUAUUACAGUCAAAGACAAAGGAGAGAAGCUGAAGUUAAUUUUUGUGGUAUCAACAUCAACAGUCUUCAGUGUCAGCUGUUACAGUAUAUUAAAAAUAAUCAAUUCAGAGGAUAAAAUAACAGCUAGAAGUAAAUUGAAGUAAAAAGAAUGUUUGGGAUUAUUUAUGUAGGUUUUGUGUCACAAUCUUCACUAGUGAGACUAAGCUAAACUUUAAGGUCACUUAUGACGUGUCAUUGGCCUAAAUUGCAUUUCAACAGGCAGUGGAACAACAGAAACUACACACACACACACACACACAGGCCAACUCAGUUACAGACCACGCAGGCCUUUUCCUGAGGAUGUAGAGCAGCAAGUUUAGUGUGAGUGUGUCUGCAUUUAUUUGAAACUGUAUUUGUGUGGUACUAAACUUAAAAAUCAUUUAACUGCCACGUGGGAGUAAUAUAGUAAAAAAAAAUAUAUAAAAUAAAAAUGAUUACUGUUUACAAACAUACCCCAAGGUCCUAAAUGGCAAAAUAAAUUGAAACAGAACCAACUGCCCUUGAGAUUUCAUGGAGAAAUGGGAGGAAAAAGUCAAAAGAGCUGUUUAGCAGUAUUAAAACUGUACCUCCGAAUAAGACACUAUGGGGACAGCUGCAAGCCACUGUUUAUGCCACAAGACAGUGGCAGUGUAUGCGAUACAAAUUACACCGUUUGAUUGGUGAGGAAGAUCAUUGACACACCAGCAUGUUUUCAUUAAAUCACCAUAAACGAGUUUACAGGCCCAGCUGGCUUUGGUUAGAGGGUGUUAAAUAAAGCAGCGCGGUAUUGUUUACUCCUCUGCUGCCGUGUCUCUCUUUCCUAAGUCUUUCUCCUUACACUCUCUUUUUGUCAACACUGUAUCCAUCCCAUAGACUGCAUAAAAACGAUCCAUCCUCACAUAAAGCACACGGUCGAGCUGUCUUCGGGGAGCGGUAACUGAUCCUAACGGUCCGUGUCAUGUGAGGAACUUCAUCUUGAAUAAAGUUGUCAAAAAAAAAAAAAAAAAAAAACGGAUCAGUCGGGAAGGAAAAAAGGAACCGGGAUGAGGCCGCCGUUUAACGAGCUGUUUUAAGGUGCCGCGUUUUUCAAACAGAAAAAAAGGGUUCAAAUCUAGC